rnacentral:lncRNA from 1 species
CCGCAUACUCAAUCCUAUAGACACCCUUUUAAUUCUUCAAUCACAGACGUAACUCGAUUUCACAAAACAGUCAAGAGUAAUCAAAUCCACUUCAUUAAAAAAAUCUCGAUUCACCAUUACAACACUGGCUUCAGCAACGAUUGCCUCAGUCUUCCAAAAACCCUAUGAAAAAAAAAACCCAAUUCUCUGUCUUCUUUCCCCGUCCCGAAG